rnacentral:rRNA from 1 species
AUUGAACGCUGGCGGCAGGCCUAACACAUGCAAGUCGAGCGGUAGCACAGAGAGCUUGCUCUCGGGUGACGAGCGGCGGACGGGUGAGUAAUGUCUGGGAAACUGCCUGAUGGAGGGGGAUAACUACUGGAAACGGUAGCUAAUACCGCAUAACGUCGCAAGACCAAAGUGGGGGACCUUCGGGCCUCAUGCCAUCAGAUGUGCCCAGAUGGGAUUAGCUAGUAGGUGGGGUAACGGCUCACCUAGGCGACGAUCCCUAGCUGGUCUGAGAGGAUGACCAGCCACACUGGAACUGAGACACGGUCCAGACUCCUACGGGAGGCAGCAGUGGGGAAUAUUGCACAAUGGGCGCAAGCCUGAUGCAGCCAUGCCGCGUGUGUGAAGAGGGCCUUCGGGUUGUAAAGCACUUUCAGCGGGGAGGAAGGCGGUGAGGUUAAUAACCUCAUCGAUUGACGUUACCCGCAGAAGAAGCACCGGCUAACUCCGUGCCAGCCGCCGCCGUAAUAC